rnacentral:tRNA from 1 species
GCCGGAGUGGCGAAACCGGUAGACGCACGAGACUUAAAAUCUCGCGUUGGCAACAACGUGUCGGUUCAAGUCCGACCUCCGGCACCA